GUGUCUGGAACAGCAGUAGGCCCACUGGAACCUCCACCGACAUGGUUGAGGAUAAUCUACUCACUGAGGAGUUACGGCAGCCUGCAAAGCCCUUUCCCGGGACGCUCCAUGCCUGGAAGCAGGAAGGAGGUAGCAGAAGAGGACAAAGGGCUUUCCCCAGCCAUCGAUCCCCCGAGACUGAAUGCCUCCUUAGAUUUUGCACCAAAGGUGGCUCCCUUGCCUCGUCCUUGCAUCAGUCCUGUUAGAAGCAACUGCCCUGACCUUGCAAUCCUUGAAUAUCCUUUGUUCUUCAUACUAUGUUAUGGGCAACAGUGAGGUCCCCCACAUUUUGCCUCUGGUGGGCACUUCAUUCCAGGUGACCACGGGCCAUGACUGAAUCAGCUGGUUCACCACUGGCUGCAGCUCCAGAUUUCAAUCUGUGGAUCUGGUGGGAUUCUGAGGAACGACUUUACUGGUGUCAAACAUGUACACAUAUCUAUACAUAUGUAUGUCUAUCUGUGGGCACAUAUA
rnacentral:lncRNA from 1 species